rnacentral:misc_RNA from 1 species
CGCGCGUACGGUGUGUUCGCAGGCACGUGAUACUUCGCACCCGGAUCGAAGUCCUGUUCAGUGCGUGGCACCGGCGGCACGAUACCCUGGUACUUCUCACGCAAAUCCCACCAAGCCUUAUUGCAAUUCUCCGGCUUAACUUCACCCGAAAAGACUUUCCAACGCCACUGGUCCACCAGGUAACCAAACGGCAGAAACGCGACCUUGUCGAGCGCGCGAUUGAGCAGGAACCCGAUGUCUGCACGCGGAUCCGGCACUUUCUCGAUCAAACCGAGUUGCUUCAGAUAAGGCGGCGUGACUGACAGUGCGACCGUGUCGCCGAUGGCUUCGUGAAAU